rnacentral:rRNA from 1 species
AACGCGAAGAACCUUACCUGGAUUUGACAUCCCUGGACAGCCCUAGAGAUAGGGUUUCCCCUUCGGGGGCCGGGAGACAGGUGCUGCAUGGCUGUCGUCAGCUCGUAUCGUGAGAUGUCGGGUUAAGUCCCUUAACGAGCGCAACCCUUGUCCCUAGUUGCCACCAUUCAGUUGGGCACUCUAGGGAGACUGCCGGUGUUAAACCGGAGGAAGGUGGGGAUGACGUCAAGUCCUCAUGGCCUUUAUAUCCAGGGCUACACACGUGCUACAAUGGCCGGUACAAAGGGAUGCCAACGCGCGAGCGGGAGCCAAUCUCAGAAAGCCGGUCUCAGUUCGAAUUGAAGUCUGCAACUCGACUUCAUGAAGCUGGAAUCGCUAGUAAUCGCGGAUCAGCAUGCCGCGGUGAAUACGUUCCCGGGCCUUGUACACACCGGUACUA